UACGAAGGGUGCAAACGUUGCUCGGAAUUAUUGGGCGUAAAGCGCACGUAGGCGGCUUAGCAAGUCGGAAGUGAAAUCCCUCGGCUCAACCAAGGAAGUGCUUUCGAAACUGCUGAGCUUGAAUACUUAAGAGGAUCGCGGAAUUCCCGGUGUAGAGGUGAAAUUCGUAGAUAUUGGGUAGAACACCGGUGGCGAAGGCGGCUCACUGGCUCGUAACUGACGCUCAGGCACGACAGCGUGGGGAUCAAACAGG
rnacentral:rRNA from 1 species